UCCGUAAGGUGAACCUGCGGAGGGAUCAUUA
rnacentral:rRNA from 1 species